rnacentral:tRNA from 1 species
GCGCCCGUAGCUCAGCAGGAUAGAGCGCGGCCCUCCUAAGGCUGAAGUGGCCGUUCGAGUCGGCCCGGGCGCA